UAGAUGAUUGCCGAUGGGUUACUAGACUGUUCUCCAGACUAAACCUGUUUCAACAUGAUUGGGUGUACCUGCCGUGUCUUCUCUGACUUCAAAGAGCCCUGGACCAGCUCUGCCCCGAAAAUGGUCUCCACGCUGCUGCUGCUCUCACUAAAUACUGGAUUCCCAUCAUGCAUUUCACCACGUUUCCAGUCAGAGUGGAACAAAAACAAUAAAUCUCCCCCUGGGUCAUUUCUGCAAAUUUGACCCUUUUUUGUUCUCCUACUCACUUUCCCAUCUGUCAUGUCUAACCCCAGUUACAUUGUUUCCAACCAGGAUCCUGAUUUACCUCCUGCUUUUGGAAGGAUUUCUGUUUUCUCUUUUGGCGUCUAUUUUUCGGACUUCCAUCUCUAAUCGAAAGGCCAAGGAGCCGACCCCCUCCAUAAUAGUUGAUUUGGAACCAGAUCCAGACAGUGAAUCAGUAGUUGACGCUUAAAACAAACGAGAUGUGGCCUUGAGGAACAUUCUGCAGCUGUGUGUGUAACACUAUGUUCCUGGUAGCACCUCCAGCCUGGGCCAGGGGGUGUGUUGUUAAGGCUGGUGUGGAGGCUUCACACGCUGGCUUACCGCAUCAGUGUGCGUCCCGUUGCGAGGUCUCCCCCACAGCUUGGCACAGCCUUACACCCCCCCAAGGGCGCUCUGACAAUGAUUUUGUUCCUUCAACGGGGGUUUCGCCGCAGAAGUUGAUGGAGGAACAAUGUGAGGAAUGUUUCUGAGGUUCCCAGGGGAUCCUCCACCACAGGGGGAAGGGUGUGUUCACAGGGCAGGUAGGUCCUCCCCCCCAGGGUGGGACGGUAGGUCCUCCCCCAGAAGGGGAACCGUCUCCAACUGACCCUUCAGAAGCUUGCUUGCUAUAUGAAGAUUGACCCGCCCAUGCACUGGUAGCGUGAGGCUGCAGUGAUUGUGGUGUUGCUGCCUUCCUGUUUCCCUUUCCCCGACUGGGUACGGUGACACCCUGAGCCCCCGCGUGGCCUGCUCCAGACGGCGGUGUUGACGGCUGUGGCCGGGAGCUUUAUGGAUGGAGGCACGAGGCGUCCAUAGCUGCUGGUCUCCCUGAUCCAUCUAAAGACCAGUCUUUAAAAAACAACAACCCAGACGGAUAGGAGCCACAUCGCAUGGCCGCACCUUCCAACGGCAGCAGCGCGCCGACGUGGAGAGACGUGCUGCAGGCACAACAUUCACCGUGUUUAGUUGGCAUGGUUAUACAGCUAAAGCCUCUCAUGGACGGAUCAUUAUAUACGCUUCUACAGGUUUCACGGCAUCCACAUGAGCCUUGACGUCAUUGUGGGGGUUAGGGUUAGGGGGUAUACCUGACCUACAGGAGUGGGGGCUGCGUCACCAGUGGGGGCCUGCGUC
ensembl:lncRNA